GAACGCGAAGAACCUUACCAAGUCUUGACAUACUGUGAGGACACAAGAGAUUGUGUUGUUCUGACCUUUGGUUAGACACAGAUACAGGUGGUGCAUGGUUGUCGUCAGCUCGUGUCGUGAGAUGUUGGGUUAAGUCCCGCAACGAGCGCAACCCUUAUAUCUAGUUGCCAGCAGUAAGAUGGGGACUCUAGAUAGACUGCCAGUGAUAAACUGGAGGAAGGUGGGGAUGACGUCAAAUCAUCAUGCCCCUUAUGACUUGGGCUACACACGUGCUACAAUGGAUAGGAACAAAGAGAAGCGAGCUCGCGAGAGUAAGCAAACCUCACAAAACUAUUCUCAGUUCGGAUUGUAGUCUGCAACUCGACUACAUGAAGCUGGAAUCGCUAGUAAUCGCGAAUCAGAAUGUCGCGGUGAAUACGUUCCCGGGUCUUGUACACACC
rnacentral:rRNA from 1 species